GGUGUGUUUGGAGCGUCAAGGCACAGAGCCGACUAUCCUCGCCUUCCCCUUAGUCAUCUCCUUUCUGAAGCUCCACGCUUCCCACCUUCUCUCCUGCGCGUCGCCAAGCCAAACGCUAUCCUUCUCAAGGCACCACCACCGUUGAGCCGCAGCCGCCGCUUCAGUCGAACAACCUCCUCCGCGGUUAACACUUCUUCAAUUCAACAGCAUUCCUCGACGAACGCCAGCGACGAGUCACAGAGAGCUUCCAAUCUCACAUUUCAACAAGCCAUUCAAAGACUCCAGGAAUAUUGGGCGUCGGUUGGAUGUGCAGUGAUGCAAUGGAGCAACACAUAGAUAACCUAAUAGUUGGAGCCGGGACUAUGAAUCCUUUGACAUACUUGAGUUCUCUGUCCGGUACCAUGGAAUGUUGUGUUAUACUAAAGCUCAAUCCAGGAAAUUCACAAGACCUCUUUUAUUCGUAGCCUUUCAGCAUUGAGUAUUUGGGUGACCUUUUCUUCACAUCUUGAUAUGCAUUGUUUCAUCCUAUGUACUUGGUGCAUGGGGUUUGGGCUGGGAAAUCUGGAUCGAUGGGAUGGAGAUCACACAAUUCACCUACUUCCGGCAGGCUGGAAGUCUUCAGUGUACUGAAGGAAAGAAAAACUUUAAGGAAAUGGAGUAUUGGUGGAAUUUACGUGCCAUUAUUAAAUAAAGUACAAAAAAGUAUGUAUAUAUUUAAAUAUUAUUGUGAUUCUUUAGUGGAAUGCAAAUUUAAUAUUUUACUUAUGUAUGAGUAGAGGAAGAAUAAUAGAAGAAAAAAAUUGAAGUAAAAAGAGUAGUUGAAAGAUCUAAUUGAAAAGAAAUAAUAAGUCGAGAAACAAAAUUGUGAUUAGAAAAGUUUAGAGGACUAAACUGAGAAUGAUGAAUAGUUGAAGGGCCUAAAUUAUAAAGGUUGAAAAGUUUGAGAUUAAAUAGUAAAUAAGAAAUAUUGGAAGACUCAUAUGCAAUUAUGCCAUUCCUAAGUAAAUUGAAUAUCAUGAAGUGUACAUGUGAAAUUAAAAUGCAACUUGGAUGCUGAAUGGCCGGCCAGACCAAUGCAUAGGUUAAACAAUAGAAGAAAUGGGUGGGCGGGGCGGACAACACAAGGUUGUCCCCCCCACCAUGUGUUAACAAUGGGCGGACAACAAAAGGUUGUCCCCCAUGAUACAAAGUAAAGAAAAAAAUGAGUGGAAAAAUAUGUCAAAGGAUUAGAUUUAUGACUAAAUGCUGUGGUAAAACACGGGUGAAGUAGAGAAGCUUUCAUGCCCUUGAACUUACAAUAUUGUAAAGGUUCUUUCUGGAGAAGUGGAAGGAAAAGUUGCGGGGAAGCUGCCCAACCCGAGAGCUAACACCAGCACACAUUGAGUUGGUAAUUUGAUUUGUUUUACAAAGGUGAUGUGGAUUGCUAUGAGGAUGAUGAGAUAAAAGUAAAUUGCAGGUAAUCCUACCAAGUUUUGUAGCCGUACCAAAGGCAACCUUGUCGAGUUUUAAAGGAGCUUCUCGAAUUAAUGCAUUCGAGGUCAGAACCGAGACACACAAUUCCUUGAACGCUCGGGGAUGCUUACUGAGUUGUUGAAAAAUCACUUGGUGGAACUAAAUAAAACUACAAGGGUGAUUGUUUAUUGGUGAGAAAUCCCACCAAUUGAGUUGAGUGGAGCUUUAUAGUUAAAUGCAUGUGGAUGCAUCUCGCAAUAGGAUAUGUGCUGCCAUGUUACAUUGAUUUAUGUGUUUAAGCUUAGAUGAGCAUGCUUAGUCUAGAGAACAAUUAUAUAUAUAUAUAUAUAUAUAUAUAUUUGUAUAUAUGCCAUGCUAUUGGAAAGCAUGAGUUGGUAAGUUAUUCGAUGUGUUUGUACCUAGAUGCAUAUGCUUAGGUCAGAAUAAUUAUAUUUUGUGAUGAUAUUCACCCAUGUCGGGUUGUGUGCCACAUGGUGGCAUUGAAAUAUUGUAAUGUUAUGUAAUUGGGAAGCAUGAGCUAUUAGACAUCUAGGCGAAUGCAUUACGUGGAUAUGAAAUUGUUCCUGAA